AUUUAAAACCUUUCCUUCCCCAUUUCCCAUCUCAAACGCAGGCCCAUUUUUUAGCCGAAAAUCAUAGCCUUGAUAGUAAAUUUCUAGGGUUUCUUUUGCUAGCAGCCAAACCACCAUUGUUUUGGUGAUCAACAGCAUGCAGAUAGUACCCAUCCUCCUCAUUGAAGGCGCUCGAUCAUGCCUAGAGAAAUUUGGGAUGGCCGUACGGAGGAGAUGAGCCCGGGCGACGUGGAGAGGGUCUCUCGUGUGAAGCUGACCCUCUAGUUUAUUCCAGAAUAUUCUAGCAUUCUCUAGCUGCUAACAUUACUUUUGGGUGUAUUGGUCCUGGGGCAAUGGGUUAUUUGGGCUAAUUUUUAUUGGGUUUGGGGAUUUGGAAUUUGGGUAGAAAAUGUAUUUGGGCUACUUUUUUUUCUUGGCCUGAUGGUGUGUAAAAUUUGGACAUUUAUUAUAAAUAUUUGGACUUUAAUUUUA